rnacentral:rRNA from 1 species
GGGUUGUGAGGUUAAGCGACUAAGCGUACACGGUGGAUGCCCUGGCAGUCAGAGGCGAUGAAGGACGUGCUAAUCUGCGAUAAGCGUCGGUAAGGUGAUAUGAACCGUUAUAACCGGCGAUUUCCGAAUGGGGAAACCCAGUGUGUUUCGACACACUAUCAUUAACUGAAUCCAUAGGUUAAUGAGGCGAACCGGGGGAACUGAAACAUCUAAGUACCCCGAGGAAAAGAAAUCAACCGAGAUUCCCCCAGUAGCGGCGAGCGAACGGGGAGCAGCCCAGAGCCUGAAUCAGUGUGUGUGUUAGUGGAAGCGUCUGGAAAGGCGCGCGAUACAGGGUGACAGCCCCGUACACAAAAAUGCACAUGCUGUGAGCUCGAUGAGUAGGGCGGGACACGUGGUAUCCUGUCUGAAUAUGGGGGGACCAUCCUCCAAGGCUAAAUACUCCUGACUGACCGAUAGUGAACCAGUACCGUGAGGGAAAGGCGAAAAGAACCCCGGCGAGGGGAGUGAAAAAGAACCUGAAACCGUGUACGUACAAGCAGUGGGAGCACGCUUAGGCGUGUGACUGCGUACCUUUUGUAUAAUGGGUCAGCGACUUAUAUUCUGUAGCAAGGUUAACCGAAUAGGGGAGCCGAAGGGAAACCGAGUCUUAACUGGGCGUUAAGUUGCAGGGUAUAGACCCGAAACCCGGUGAUCUAGCCAUGGGCAGGUUGAAGGUUGGGUAACACUAACUGGAGGACCGAACCGACUAAUGUUGAAAAAUUAGCGGAUGACUUGUGGCUGGGGGUGAAAGGCCAAUCAAACCGGGAGAUAGCUGGUUCUCCCCGAAAGCUAUUUAGGUAGCGCCUCGUGAAUUCAUCUCCGGGGGUAGAGCACUGUUUCGGCAAGGGGGUCAUCCCGACUUACCAACCCGAUGCAAACUGCGAAUACCGGAGAAUGUUAUCACGGGAGACACACGGCGGGUGCUAACGUCCGUCGUGAAGAGGGAAACAACCCAGACCGCCAGCUAAGGUCCCAAAGUCAUGGUUAAGUGGGAAACGAUGUGGGAAGGCCCAGACAGCCAGGAUGUUGGCUUAGAAGCAGCCAUCAUUUAAAGAAAGCGUAAUAGCUCACUGGUCGAGUCGGCCUGCGCGGAAGAUGUAACGGGGCUAAACCAUGCACCGAAGCUGCGGCAGCGACGCUGAUGCGUUGUUGGGUAGGGGAGCGUUCUGUAAGCCUGUGAAGGUGUGCUGUGAGGCAUGCUGGAGGUAUCAGAAGUGCGAAUGCUGACAUAAGUAACGAUAAAGCGGGUGAAAAGCCCGCUCGCCGGAAGACCAAGGGUUCCUGUCCAACGUUAAUCGGGGCAGGGUGAGUCGACCCCUAAGGCGAGGCCGAAAGGCGUAGUCGAUGGGAAACAGGUUAAUAUUCCUGUACUUGGUGUUACUGCGAAGGGGGGACGGAGAAGGCUAUGUUGGCCGGGCGACGGUUGUCCCGGUUUAAGCGUGUAGGCUGGUUUUCCAGGCAAAUCCGGAAAAUCAAGGCUGAGGCGUGAUGACGAGGCACUACGGUGCUGAAGCAACAAAUGCCCUGCUUCCAGGAAAAGCCUCUAAGCAUCAGGUAACAUCAAAUCGUACCCCAAACCGACACAGGUGGUCAGGUAGAGAAUACCAAGGCGCUUGAGAGAACUCGGGUGAAGGAACUAGGCAAAAUGGUGCCGUAACUUCGGGAGAAGGCACGCUGAUAUGUAGGUGAAGCGACUUGCUCGUGGAGCUGAAAUCAGUCGAAGAUACCAGCUGGCUGCAACUGUUUAUUAAAAACACAGCACUGUGCAAACACGAAAGUGGACGUAUACGGUGUGACGCCUGCCCGGUGCCGGAAGGUUAAUUGAUGGGGUUAGCGCAAGCGAAGCUCUUGAUCGAAGCCCCGGUAAACGGCGGCCGUAACUAUAACGGUCCUAAGGUAGCGAAAUUCCUUGUCGGGUAAGUUCCGACCUGCACGAAUGGCGUAAUGAUGGCCAGGCUGUCUCCACCCGAGACUCAGUGAAAUUGAACUCGCUGUGAAGAUGCAGUGUACCCGCGGCAAGACGGAAAGACCCCGUGAACCUUUACUAUAGCUUGACACUGAACAUUGAGCCUUGAUGUGUAGGAUAGGUGGGAGGCUUUGAAGUGUGGACGCCAGUCUGCAUGGAGCCGACCUUGAAAUACCACCCUUUAAUGUUUGAUGUUCUAACGUUGACCCGUAAUCCGGGUUGCGGACAGUGUCUGGUGGGUAGUUUGACUGGGGCGGUCUCCUCCUAAAGAGUAACGGAGGAGCACGAAGGUUGGCUAAUCCUGGUCGGACAUCAGGAGGUUAGUGCAAUGGCAUAAGCCAGCUUGACUGCGAGCGUGACGGCGCGAGCAGGUGCGAAAGCAGGUCAUAGUGAUCCGGUGGUUCUGAAUGGAAGGGCCAUCGCUCAACGGAUAAAAGGUACUCCGGGGAUAACAGGCUGAUACCGCCCAAGAGUUCAUAUCGACGGCGGUGUUUGGCACCUCGAUGUCGGCUCAUCACAUCCUGGGGCUGAAGUAGGUCCCAAGGGUAUGGCUGUUCGCCAUUUAAAGUGGUACGCGAGCUGGGUUUAGAACGUCGUGAGACAGUUCGGUCCCUAUCUGCCGUGGGCGCUGGAGAACUGAGGGGGGCUGCUCCUAGUACGAGAGGACCGGAGUGGACGCAUCACUGGUGUUCGGGUUGUCAUGCCAAUGGCACUGCCCGGUAGCUAAAUGCGGAAGAGAUAAGUGCUGAAAGCAUCUAAGCACGAAACUUGCCCCGAGAUGAGUUCUCCCUGACUCCUUGAGAGUCCUGAAGGAACGUUGAAGACGACGACGUUGAUAGGCCGGGUGUGUAAGCGCAGCGAUGCGUUGAGCUAACCGGUACUAAUGAACCGUGAGGCUUAACCUUACAACGCCGAAGCUGUU